rnacentral:rRNA from 1 species
AAUCCAUAGGUUAAUGAGGCGAACCGGGGGAACUGAAACAUCUAAGUACCCCGAGGAAAAGAAAUCAACCGAGAUUCCCCCAGUAGCGGCGAGCGAACGGGGAGGAGCCCAGAGCCUGAAUCAGCAUGUGUGUUAGUGGAAGCGUCUGGAAAGGCGCGCGAUACAGGGUGACAGCCCCGUACACAAAAGCGCAUGUGCUGUGAGCUCGAUGAGUAGGGCGGGACACGUGGUAUCCUGUCUGAAUAUGGGGGGACCAUCCUCCAAGGCUAAAUACUCCUGACUGACCGAUAGUGAACCAGUACCGUGAGGGAAAGGCGAAAAGAACCCCGGCGAGGGGAGUGAAAAAGAACCUGAAACCGUGUACGUACAAGCAGUGGGAGCCCCACCACCAAAGCGUUUCGCUUUGUGUGGUGCACAAAGAAGCGUAACGACAGCACUGAAUGACGGUUAACGGAGCGCAAGCGACGUUCAACAUACAAAGUCAAGCAGUGGAGCGCUUUGGGGUGGGGUGACUGCGUA